UGGCCAGCAUGGCUGCUUGUGCUGCUGCUUGUGUGCGCCAUUCAUCAUGGCUUCGACCGAGAAUGAGCCAGAUAGUUCGUGCUCUAGAAGGAGAUAUUUCUGCAAUGGAUCUCUAUGAAGGAACAAGGCCUGGACAUAGCACCUUCUAUGGUUCUGCCAGUUCUUUUUAUGAUAACUUUCAAUACAAGCAAGACAUAAAGAAACACAACAUGGAACUAGCCACUUGGCGGUAUGGCGCCAGUGCGUACAGUGGAACCACCAGUGAGUAUGGUCUUAACCCAUCUAGCUCAAGUAGUGAUACUGGCAGCAGAUAAACUGCCCCAUAGAUGCACAACCACUACGAAGACAAUGAUAAUGCUUGGGUUUUAGAGUAACCUUUGAUGACCAAUUACCCUUUCUGUCAUCUGAUAUAGUUCAGUUUCCUUUUUAUGUACACGGCUUAUUGAAUUGAUUAUCUCCCCCAGCGCCCUUUCUGUCAUCUGAUAUAGUUCAGUUUCCUUUUUAUGUACACGGCUUAUUGAAUUGAUUAUCUCCCCCAGCG
rnacentral:misc_RNA from 1 species